ACGGGCAUAUUACAGUGAAACAGCGGUUCUCUUACGAUCACAAAAGUAAGCAACGUCGGGCCAAGUCAGUAUCUAGAUAAGUGACCGCUUGGGAAUACCAGGUGCUGUAA